rnacentral:misc_RNA from 1 species
GCAUAUUUUGCAUGGAAGGUUCUAGAACCCUUCAGGAUUAAUAUUCACAGUUUUGCAUUAGCACAGUCAGAAUGACAAGUGAAUGAACAUGUAUGCUUAUGUCCACCCUUGUAUUCUUCUUUCAGAAACGAAAAUUUUAAUUCAACUAGAUAAAAGGCCAAACAUUAAUCAAAUGAAUAAAAUAUCAGUUCCUUUCGGGCCACAGAAACUAGUAUCUUGAAGUUUAACCUCUUUUUCUUUCUACAUAUAUUCAACAGAAAGCUAUUUGAAAUUGGCAGAGAGAGAGAGAGA